rnacentral:rRNA from 1 species
AUUGAACGCUGGCGGCAGGCCUAACACAUGCAAGUCGAGCGGCAGCGGGGGAAAGCUUGCUUUCCCGCCGGCGAGCGGCGGACGGGUGAGUAAUGUCUGGGAAACUGCCUGAUGGAGGGGGAUAACUACUGGAAACGGUAGCUAAUACCGCAUAACGUCCUCGGACCAAAGUGGGGGACCUUCGGGCCUCAUGCCAUCAUAUGUGCCCAGAUGGGAUUAGCUAGUUGGUGGGGUAACGGCUCACCAAGGCGACGAUCCCUAGCUGGUCUGAGAGGAUGACCAGCCACACUGGAACUGAGACACGGUCCAGACUCCUACGGGAGGCAGCAGUGGGGAAUAUUGCACAAUGGGCGCAAGCCUGAUGCAGCCAUGCCGCGUGUAUGAAGAAGGCCUUCGGGUUGUAAAGUACUUUCAGCGGGGAGGAAGGUGUUGUGGUUAAUAACCAGAGCAAUUGACGUUACCCGCAGAAGAAGCACCGGCUAACUACGUGCCAGCAGCCGCCGUAACAC